GACGAACGCUGGCGGCGUGCUUAACACAUGCAAGUCGAGCGGAGCGGCGAACGGGUGAGUAACGCGUGAGUAACUGCCCCCCUCUCUGGGAUAACAGUUGGAAACGGCUGCUAAUACCGGAUAGUGGGGGAUGACUCGGGUCCUAUCAGCGUGUUGUUGGGGUAGUGGCCUACCAAGGCGACGACGGGUAGCCGGCCUGAGAGGGCGACCGGCCACAUUGGGGUGUGAUAGGGACCAAAGUCCUACGGGAGGCAGCAGUGGGGAGUAUGACGCAGUGGGGGAAAGCCUGAUGCAGCAACGCCGCGUGCGGGAUGACGGCCUUCGGGUUGUAAACCGCUUUCAGCCAUGACGCGGUAGUGGCAGAAGAAGCACCGGCUAACUACGUGCCAGCAGCCGCGGUAAUUC
rnacentral:rRNA from 1 species